ensembl:lncRNA
UUUGGAGAUUUGAUCUUUCUCUUGAAAUAGCAACUUUCCCAAUUCUAUUUCUCUACAUUAUAUUGAAUGCUGAAAGUAGAAGAUUAUUUAUUUAUUUGUUUGUUUUAUGUGUUUGAAGGGAUUCUGCUGUUCAUUUAUCUGCUAAUAUUUUUAUAACUGGCUCAGGGGCAGUGCCUGUAGUAUCUACCUCGUGGUAAAAAAAAUGGAGAAAUAUUGUGUUCCUAGUGUGAGUUAACAUGCUGGCUAGACUGUUCAUGGGAACCUCUUGCAGCUGCUCAGUAAAUUCGACCUUCUUGUCAAUUUGUUGCGGGUGCGAGCAAUGAAAUUGAUGAGAUCAUCAAUUUGACUUAACAGCUGCAGAGUUCAGAGAGUUUCCGGUCCAUGGGAAGUUUAAAAAAUGCCUGGUUUGGAUCCAAAUCAGACCAAAGUUAUACAACAGAAAAAGAAAAUCCCCAUCGUUUUAAAAUCCUUCUUUAUUGUCUUUUUGUUGUCCUCUGGGAUCCAAGAGGAAAUUCCCAUGCUCUGCAUUUUAAUAAUUGCACGUAAAGGCUGCCUGAUGAAAAUUGAUAUAAUUAAUGUGUUGCCUUUUUCGGUUUUGAUAGCAACUAUGGCACAUAAUUUGCAUCGAGUCUGUGAGGAACUAUGACCCCUGAACGAAUUAGUUGCAUGAUUGACUGACUGAUGAUGAUUAACAUCUACACACAAUGAACUCUUCAGCUGCAACUGCCCAUCAGCCAUUGAAGGAGACUGCUGUGUUUUGAAUCUCCAAUAGAGGUAGACUGUUCUUUCCAUGGCAGUGAGCUUUCAUAAAGUAUGAUAAGGUGGUAAGUUGAAGUCAGACAGAGAAGUGUGAGAUAUAUAGUUUGCUCUUAAACUUAAUUAUCUCCAAUAACUUGGAACAAUACUGUUUCUUGAUGUAGUUUUAAGAAAAAGCCAUUCUGCCCUUCAUGUAGCUGAGCAUUUCAGGGUGAGCUCACAUGUGCAAGAAACAGCUUUAAAUGUCUGAUAUUUGCACUGAAAAUGUUUAGUCAUCAACUGCAAAGGGACCAUGCACAACACUGGCACAGGCCGUUCCACCAAACCUCUUGAGCUACUCAGAGCAGUGAGUGGAGACUUCUCCCCUCUCUCCACUGUUUUCUUAGGGUAAAUAAUAUUAGGAGAAGAGAAAUAGAUAAAUAUGCAUGCUUAUAAAAAAAUCACCAUGUUCAGUCUUUGAACGAAACAAAAGAAUGGAAAAAAGCAUACUGGGACAGAUUUUGGAAUUUUAUUGUGUUAAAAAGAGUGAAUAAGUUCUCUUUCUUAUGUAGGUACAGAGCAACUCUGAAUAUGUCUAAAACUUGUUUUAGUAAAACUUCAGAUGCACCACUAAAAAAUACUAACAACUAAGCAUGUCAUUUUAAUUAAAAAUCUACCACUACCUUCUCAGACAUUACAAGAAAAUUCUCAUCUAAGAUGGUAAAUUCUUAUUCUUCAGAAUUAAUCUUUCAGAGAUUAGACAUUAAGAGCCAUAAUCUGGGAACUCAUUUAUUCACUGUGAAUUUUCCUUUCCAAUUAAUGAAUGGCCUGAAUUGUUUAACUUGUACUUCCAUUUAUGUCUUGUUUGAAAAGUAGAGCAUCUCAUGACAAGUGUUUUUUAUGUCUAAGGGCCCACAUUUGAAAUGGGGAAGUCAAUGACUGAAUUCUAAUUGUGAAAGGGGAAAAAAAAAAGAAAAUGUAGACUUGUACUCUAUUUUUUGCAUUCCAGCAUAGGCAUAUAGUCAAAAAGCUUCUUGUUAAAUGAAUCCUUAUGGUAAAUUUAGGUUCUGAUCUAUAGAGAGUUUCUGACAUACAAAGGGUUCAUUGGAUGAUGCAAGCUGAGCGCAGAAACCUAAAUCCAAAUCAAGAACAGAAAACAUUCACAAAUGCUCCUUUCUGAGCACAUUUGACUAAAAAUAGAUCAGUAACUUCUUGAAAAAUGUAGCAGAAGGAGUACUGGUGUACUGAGUAUAGUGAGAGUUUAUUCUGGAUUUAAGUAUAGUUUUGGAGUGCCCACCUUAGAAAUCCCAGAUGAACUGCACAUCAGAAAAGGAGAAUAUUUAGCAGGUCCUAAAUGAUCACGAAAGCUUUGGCAUGAAAUCAUGCAAUGCUCUCAUAAGCAAACAAUAUAAUAAAUACUGGCUCAUUAAUUAACCA